UCCUACGGGAGGCAGCAGUGGGGAAUAUUGGACAAUGGGCGGAAGCCUGAUCCAGCAACGCCGCGUGAGGGAUGACGGCCUUCGGGUUGUAAACCUCUUUCAGCAUUGACGAAGCUUCUUCUUUUUGGGGGGAGUGACGGUAGGUGCAGAAGAAGGACCGGCCAACUACGUGCCAGCAGCCGCGGUAAUACGUAGGGUCCGAGCGUUGUCCGGAAUUAUUGGGCGUAAAGGGCUCGUUGGCGGUUUGUUGCGUCGGGAGUGAAAACCCAGGGCUUAACUUUAGGCUUGCUUUCGAUACGGGCAGACUUGAGGCAUUGAGGGGAGAACGGAAUUCCUGGUGUAGCGGUGAAAUGCGCAGAUAUCAGGAGGAACACCGGUGGCGAAGGCGGUUCUCUGGCAAUGUUCUGACGCUGAGGAGCGAAAGUGUGGGGAGCGAACAGGAUUAGAUACCCUGGUAGUCCGCACCGUAAACGUUGGGCGCUAGGUGUGGGACACAUUCCACGUGUUCCGUGCCGCGGCUAACGCAUUAAGCGCCCCGCCUGGGGAGUACGGCCGCAAGGCUAAAACUCAAAUGAAUUGACGGA
rnacentral:rRNA from 1 species